GGAGGGCUGGAGCUCAUUGGAAGAGCGUCUGCUUUGAGUGCAGAAGGUCCCAGAUUCAAUCCCUAGAAUCUCUA